rnacentral:rRNA from 1 species
GAUGAACGCUGGCGGCGUGCCUAAUACAUGCAAGUCGAGCGAACGGACGAGAAGUUUGCUUCUCUGAUGUUAGCGGCGGACGGGUGAGUAACACGUGGAUAACCUACCUUUAAGACUGGGAUAACUUCGGGAAACCGGAGCUAAUACCGGAUGAUAUUUUGAACCGCAUGGUUCAAAAGUGAAAGACGGUCUUGCUGUCACUUAUAGAUGGAUCCGCGCUGCAUUAGCUAGUUGGUAAGGUAACGGCUUACCAAGGCAACGAUGCAUAGCCGACCUGAGAGGGUGAUCGGCCACACUGGAACUGAGACACGGUCCAGACUCCUACGGGAGGCAGCAGUAGGGAAUCUUCCGCAAUGGGCGAAAGCCUGACGGAGCAACGCCGCGUGAGUGAUGAAGGUCUUCGGAUCGUAAAACUCUGUUAUUAGGGAAGAACAUAUGUGUAAGUAACUGUGCACAUCUUGACGGUACCUAAUCAGAAAGCCACGGCUAACUACGUG